UACGUAGGAUGCAAGCGUUGUCCGGAUUUACUGGGCGUAAAGCGCGCGCAGGCGGCUCUACAAGUAUGGCGUGAAAUCUCCCUGCUCAACGGGGAGGGUGCGUUGUAGACUGUAAGGCUUGAGGACGGUAGAGGGGGGUAGAAUUGCUGGUGUAGCGGUGAAAUGCGUAGAGAUCAGCAGGAAUACCCGUGGCGAAGGCGGCCCCCUGGGCCGUACCUGACGCUGAGGCGCGAAGGCUAGGGGAGCGACCCGG
rnacentral:rRNA from 1 species